AGUGAACGCUGGCGGUAGGCCUAACACAUGCAAGUCGAACGGCAGCACAGUAAGAGCUUGCUCUUACGGGUGGCGAGUGGCGGACGGGUGAGGAAUACAUCGGAAUCUACUUUUUCGUGGGGGAUAACGUAGGGAAACUUACGCUAAUACCGCAUACGACCUACGGGUGAAAGCAGGGGAUCUUCGGACCUUGCGCGAUUGAAUGAGCCGAUGUCGGAUUAGCUAGUUGGCGGGGUAAAGGCCCACCAAGGCGACGAUCCGUAGCUGGUCUGAGAGGAUGAUAGGCCACACGAGAACUGGGACACGGUCCAGACUCCUGCGGGGGGCAGCAGUGGGGAAUAUUGGGCAAUGGGCGCAAGCCUGAUCCAGCCAUACCGCGUGGGUGAAGAAGGCCUUCGGGUUGUAAAGCCCUUUUGUUGGGAAAGAAAAGCAGCAGGUUAAUACCCCGCUGUUCUGACGGUACCCAAAGAAUAAGCACCGGCUAACUUCGUG
rnacentral:rRNA from 1 species